GACCCAGUAGCUCAGUAGGCAGAGCACCUGCCUUUUAAGCAGGGUGUCCGGAGUUCGAAUCUCCGCUGGGUCACCA
rnacentral:tRNA from 1 species